rnacentral:rRNA from 1 species
UGGCGGCGUGCCUAAUACAUGCAAGUCGAACGCAUUACUCGGUAGUGAGUGGCGAACGGGUGAGUAACACGUAGGUAACUUACCUCGUAAGACGAGGAUAACGACUGGAAACGGUCGCUAAAACUGGAUAGGAUCAUUUGAGGCAUCUCGAAUGAUUUAAAGGGGCUUUCAAGCCACACUUAGAGAAAGGCCUGCGGCGCAUUAGCGUAGUUGGUGGGGUAGAGGCCUACCAAGGCGAUGAUGCGUAGCCGGACUGAGAGGUCGAACGGCCACAUUGGGACUGAGACACGGCCCAAACUCCUACGGGAGGCAGCAGUAGGGAAUUUUCCGCAAUGGACGAAAGUCUGACGGAGCAACGCCGCGUGAGUGAAGAAAGGUUUUCGGAUCGUAAAACUCUGUUGUCAGAGAAGAACAAGUUGGAGAGUAACUGCUCCAGCCUUGACGGUAUCUGACCAGAAAGCCACGGCUAACUACGUGCCAGCCGCAGC